ensembl:lncRNA
GGAUACCACCGCCUGUUGUUACAUAGAGUUUACUACUCAACAGCAUGAAGACAGCGAGCAGCAAAAAACCCCAUCAAACUCUGCGGAAUACCAAUAUUUCAUCAAGAAGCGUGCACAGUACCUAGCGUGCACCCAGUGCUCAGUUGACAGGCACGUCUGCUGGACUUCUUCAAAUAAAACACGUUGCACCUAAACGAAAGCAACAUCAAGAGAGACAGAGGGAUAAAGUAAACAAAGCAAGAGGAAAAAAGAGAACAAGAAUGCCAAGAGUGGUAAGCCCGAUGCAUUGUGUCAUCUUAGCUGACUCCUGGGUCUCACUCAAACAUCCUUCCAGCUUCCUGUUUGGUCAGCUGGGGAAUUGGGCUGGAGUCUAACAAGCUACAUCCAUACUUUAUUACUGAAUGGCUAUUUGCCAAAUCAGUUGUAUGUCGCUGUCUCUAAAUAAUAUCUGGUAACUGACUGCCCCCAUACCUCCUGGAGUCUGACAAACAACUUCUUCACAAAAUAGUGCAUGUGGUGAUCAGCUAUGGAUUGAGACAGAACUCAGCAGUAACAACCUCCAAAGAGCUUGGCUUGGUAUGAAAACAAUGGCAGGGCUACAAACGAAAGGUAAAAGUAAUAUUAGCUUAGAAGGGUUUACCUCUGACAAACAUCUGGCAGACAGUCUUAACAGUUUUUACCUGCGUUUUGAAGAUCUUGACUAUUCUAGGCAGACCAGCAAACUGAGGGAGAAGACCAUCACUCCCCCAUCAUUUUGUAUUGAUGAGAGGGGGCUAAUCUCUUUAGACACACUAAGAGUAAGAGUCCUGGACCUGACAACAUCUGUGGACAGGUACUGAGAACUUGUGCUGAUCAGCUGAGUGGGAUUUUCACCAUAUUUUCUCACUUUCUUUAGAGCUACAGACGGUACCUAAGAUUUGGAAACAUGCUGUCAUUGUUCCAGUUGCUAAUGAUUUUAGGCCUGUGGCUCUGACUUCUUUAGUGAUGAAGUCAUUUGAGAAGAUAAUUAAGAAGGAGAUUUUAAUGCAUGUUGAACACCAUCUUGACCCCUUCCAGUUUGCCUAUAGAGCAGGGAGAGGUGUGGAGGAUGCUGCUGUCACACUCCUGCAUCUCUUGUAUAAGCAUCUUGAGGCCCCCCACACCCACGCAAGAUUAUUAUUUGCUGACUUUUCAUCGGCAUUCAAUACAAUUCAACCCCUCUUAUUUGCUGACAGGCUCUACAAUCAUUUCAAGCUUGACACUAGUCUGGUCCGCUGGGUGACAGACUUUCUGACUAAUAGGUCACAAUGUGUGAGGGUGAAUCAUGUGUUUUCUGAUGUGCUCUCCUCCUCUACUGCAUCACCCCAGGGUUGCUGCCUCUCUCCCCUUCUGUUCUUUCUGUACACAAAUGAGUGUUGCAGCAAUUUCACGAACAGACACAUCCUGAAGUUUGGUGAUGACACAGUGAUCGUCAGUCUUCUUGUGGGGGCGAGUCAGGCCAUGGACAGGUUGUAGAUGAUUUUGUGGAUUGGUGUGAUGAGUCCUUCCUGUCACUAAAUGUGUCAAAAACUAAAGACAUGAUUAUUGAUUUUAGGAAGUCCUCUUAUAGCUCAUCACCCACUAUCAUUAACCUUAACCCAAUUUCCCUCAGGAUGAAUAAAGUAUUAUCAAUCAAUCAUUAAAACUGCUGAUAUUGGGAUCGUUGAGAGUUAUAAAUAUCUAGGUGUGCUUGACCAUAAAGAAUCUCAUGCUGGCCACUACUAAAAAAGUUCAACAAAGACUGUUCUUUUUAAGGAAAAUGAGAUCUUUUAAUGUCUCAUCCGAGAUGUUGUCUUUGUUUUAUAGAUGUUUUAUCGAAUCUGUGAUGUCUUUUUGUAUCGCUGCCUGGUUUGGUAACCUGACGGUGAAGAAUAAGAAUCGAUUCGGUCUUCUGGUAAAAACUGCUAGCAAAAUUUCAGGGCGCUGGCAAGAUGGACUUUUGGCUAUUUACAAUAAAAAUGUGCUUAUAAAGGUUCAUUCUAUUGUUAAUUGUUUGAACCAUCCACUUCACAGUGAGUUUGAGCUGUUGCCUUUAGUUGCCGUCGUUUUAGAGUACCUGUGAGGAAGACCAAAAGACUCCAGGUAUCUUUUAUCCCUACUGCAUCCUGUCUCCUAAAUAGCAUAUAACCGUCUGGGGAUUUUCUAUUACUAUUAUUGUCGUUUUAUAUUAUUGUUUUGUUUACUUUUUUGUUUACCUUUAUCCGGCUGCUAAACUAAUUUCCCUUUUGGGAAAAUAAAGAAUUUGACAUGAACAGCAGAUUGAAGAUUGGUGUAGUGACCUGUCCUGUAUUUGCAUACAACAAAGGUGUCUCACCACCUAUCCCAAGACCCUCUUCUGGAGCUCUCUCUCCCGUUGUUUGAUGCAUGCUCAAUCAUCCAGGUAAGUAAAUCCCAAAAGGUUGACUAUGUUCAUCUGGAUGUAACAUUUUGACCUCCCAGCCCAUUGUUCAUUCACUGGUGCUGGUUUCAGUCAUCGUGCAAAUGUACUGUUUAUAAGAUUUGGGAAACCUGCAGUCAGCUGAGACUGAAGAAGUCACCUGGAUGAGUGACGAAACGUUUCUCCCACUGAAAACGCUACGUCCAGAUGAACAGAAUCAAGCAGCUUGAGUUAUGUAUCUAUUCCUCUAUUAAACUAGCCUUUUCCAUCAUAAAGUUUGUUGCCAAGAGUAUUGUCACUGAUUGUUUUAUUGGCAAAUGUGCAUGACUGUCAUUCAUAAUUCAUGUCCACAUGAAAACACAUUUUCUGCCCUAAAUCAGAAACAUUUGGUUCUAGUAGAAUUCAACCUUAUGUGCUGUGGUCAAGCACAUUUAAAAUAAAGUAUUAAAAAUUAACAUAUUAACUCAAAUACAGUUGGAAUGUCAAUUUUUCCUCUGUUUUCAAAGUGGCAUUGGUACCCGUGUAUAAAAAAAACAAAAGCUUAACAAUUUAAAAGGUGUAAAAAUAGGAUACGAAUACCACAGAAACAAUAACUGAAGCAAAAGAAUUAAUGCGCAAAAAUACAAUGCCUCCCAUCUUUUACUCUUAAACAAGGACAGUUUAUAAUAAGCAGCUGAUAUGCUACUACUGUUCUCUAAUGUUAAGGCACUUUGAGUGCUAUAAAUUUCCUCUGUUCAGUAAAGAUAGAAAGUUUCUGUGUAUUUACAACAACAUUGGUACUACUGUGGCUUGUACAACAUUACUCCUAUAAGAUGGAGUUGUGGUCAAGCUUCUUUAGAAAAAGCACACGUCUUUAUUGAAUGUUACUUUGACAUGUACAGCUCACCUAACCACUGUUGUAGGCCAGGCACAGGCCCUCAAUCAAGGGAAUUCCCCAAUAGCAGCAGCCUUUACACUAUAAUGUGGCACAUAAGCAACAAUUGUGCUGCAGUAGCUCAAGGACCAUAACAAAGAGCCCAGAAUUCACCCAGGCACUAAAUAUCCAAAAUCCUAAUCCUGUCAAGAAAAUAUAGAAACAAGUAUAAUUGUAUGUAGUUGCAAUAUUGCAGCUAAUAGCUAAGAGUUGAGUUAAAACAUUUCUUUGUGUGUGUAGUUGUGCUUUACUUGCCCCCCUGACUGUGUUCAAAUGAUCCCCCAGAACAAAUAGGAGGAUCAUGAUUUCAUUCUGAGUGUGGCUGCUUUACUAAAUUCACUCUUGCCAAACCUGAAAGUACAAAACAAAAAUACUACAACACAGUGCAUCAUCCCCAGCAUGUGAAUGAGCCUGCCUUAAUGACAGAAAGCUUUGAGUAGGCGUGUUCUCAGCCACGAAACAUAUGUCUUUAUUUACAGUGAUCACGAGCAUCAUUAGCCAUAGCCAUUAGUCAGCAACCAAGAUCCCUGCAGGGAAGGGCAGGGAUCUUGGUUGUGGUUGAGGUUUGUGAUUGGUUUGACGAUGACUUCCUGUUGUGUGAAAUUGCAUGUGUGUGUUUGUGUCUCUGUGUUGGCAGGGGAAACGGAUAGGAACACAGCCGGACCAGCUGGCUGCAAAUCUCUGCAAUCUGCUGCUUAGUUAAGCUGGCACACACACACACACACACACACACACACACACACACACACACACACACACACACACACACACACACACACACACACACACACACACACACACAGACAAAUGCAUGCAUUGGAUAAAUACUUAAUUAUAUUCACUUAUGUACUAAACAACAGUUAAAAAUAACAUUUAAUAAAAAGGCCAGUCCAUAAAUGACCACAGAUGAGUGACUAACAGCAGAAAUGAAGUGAUUUGUGUAAUUUGGCAUUGACAGCCACUGUACACACUAGCUCUUGAUCCACUAGUGAAACCAGUCUCUGCAGAAAAGCAAAGUCAUUUGCUGGUUAUUAAAAUAAUUUAUUACAACUCUCAAUAUUCUCUUAAUUAAAAUUCACUUAUCGCAGUUGGGGACUUGAGAGCUGGACUAUUAAGGAGAGCUCCACUGAAUGCAUGUAAAGGAAUAUGUGCAUAUGUAAAUAUCCAAGCAUUUGUGUGUGUGUGUAUGAGUGAGUGUGUAUACAGCCGCCCAUGUGCCCAAACAUGGCUUUUAAUCACCAGUUUUCUUGAUUAAGCAAUACUGUGGGGUAAUUUGUUUAAAAAAAUAUUAUAUCCGCCACGAGGCAGCCGAAGCGUCUGGACUUCUUUAAGUUGCUUGAAGACGUUUCACCUCUCAUCCGAGAAGCUUCUUCAGUUCUAAGGUCAAAUGGUGGAGAGUCCCAGAU